rnacentral:tRNA from 1 species
GUCUCUAUAGCUCAGUCUGGUCAGAGCGUUGGCUUGCCAUGCCGAAUACACGGGUUCAAAUCCCGUUGGAGACUCCA